rnacentral:rRNA from 1 species
ACGUACACUCCUGCGGGAGGCAGCAGUGGGGAAUAUUGGACAAUGGGCGCAAGCCUGAUCCAGCCAUGCCGCGUGAGUGAUGAAGGCCCUAGGGUUGUAAAGCUCUUUCACCGGAGAAGAUAAUGACGGUAUCCGGAGAAGAAGCCCCGGCUAACUUCGUGCCAGCAGCCGCGGUAAUACGAAGGGGGCUAGCGUUGUUCGGAAUUACUGGGCGUAAAGCGCACGUAGGCGGAUCGAUCAGUCAGGGGUGAAAUCCCAGGGCUCAACCCUGGAACUGCCUUUGAUACUGUCGAUCUGGAGUAUGGAAGAGGUGAGUGGAAUUCCGAGUGUAGAGGUGAAAUUCGUAGAUAUUCGGAGGAACACCAGUGGCGAAGGCGGCUCACUGGUCCAUUACUGACGCUGAGGUGCGAAAGCGUGGGGAGCAAACAGGAUUAGAUACCCUAGUAGUCCCAUG